GACGAACGCUGGCGGCGUGCCUAACACAUGCAAGUCGAACGGAAAGGCCCUGCUUUUGUGGGGUUUUCGAGUGGCGAACGGGUGAGUAACACGUGAGUAUCCUUCCCCUUACUUUGGGAUAACUUCAGGAAACCGGGGCUAACACCGGAGUGCUGCUCCUGCUGCAUGGUGGGGGUUGGAACGUUUCGGCGGUUGGGGAUGGACUCGCGGUUUAUCAGCUUGUUGGUGGGGUAGUGGCUUACCAAGGCUUUGACGGGUAGCCGGCCUGGGAGGGUGACCGGCGACAUUGGGACUGAGAUACGGCCCAGACUCCUACGGGAGGCAGCAGUGGGGAAUAUUGCACAAUGGGCGGAAGCCUGUUGCAGCAACGCCGCGUGCGGGAUGACGGCCUUCGGGUUGUAAACCGCUUUCGCCUGUGACGAAGCGUGAGUGACGGUAAUGGGUAAAGAAGCACCGGCUAACUACGUG
rnacentral:rRNA from 1 species